UGGGGAAUUUUGGACAAUGGGCGCAAGCCUGAUCCAGCCAUGCCGCGUGCGGGAAGAAGGCCUUCGGGUUGUAAACCGCUUUUGUCAGGGAAGAAAUCUUCUGAGUUAAUACCUCGGGAGGAUGACGGUACCUGAAGAAUAAGCACCGGCUAACUACGUGCCAGCAGCCGCGGUAAUACGUAGGGUGCAAGCGUUAAUCGGAAUUACUGGGCGUAAAGCGUGCGCAGGCGGUUUUGUAAGACAGAGGUGAAAUCCCCGGGCUCAACCUGGGAACUGCCUUUGUGACUGCAAGGCUUGAGUGCGGCAGAGGGGGAUGGAAUUCCGCGUGUAGCAGUGAAAUGCGUAGAUAUGCGGAGGAACACCGAUGGCGAAGGCAAUCCCCUGGGCCUGCACUGACGCUCAUGCACGAAAGCGUGGGGAGCAAACAGGAUUAGAUACCCUGGUAGUCCACGCCCUAAACGAUGUCAACUGGUUGUUGGGAAGGUUCCUUCUCAGUAACGUAGCUAACGCGUGAAGUUGACCGCCUGGGGAGUACGGCCGCAAGGUUGAAAACUCAAAGGAAUUGACGGGGUCAUAGCUGUUU
rnacentral:rRNA from 1 species